GCUUCUUUGUUUUAAGUGAUAUUUAUCAGUACUAAUAAAUCUGAUAAAUCAAUUCUAAUAAAUACUGAUAAAUCCAUUUUGGGAUUGUCUAUUAAGGGGUGCUUGUAGCUUCAAUGCUGUUGUCCUGGAACGCUGCUGUGGGCUCUGUGUGGAGACGUUGGAUGCUGCACUGAUAUGGGCUCAAAGGACUGAUGGCUCUGUGAAGCAGCUGAACAGCAAGGAGAACAGCAGAAGAAGAACAGCUGAACAGCAGAGAAGUCAGAGUAGUCAUCUCAAUGAACAACCAACCUUUGCCCGUGGUGAAAUAGGAUCUCAUGAGAACAACAUUUUGUGAUUUCUCAACUUCCUAUCCACCUACCACACUUGAAGCUAAUACUUUUGACUUUUCUGGAGCUAAGAACACGUAACAUAAUCCCGGUACAGGAGAAGGCUUCUUCAGAAUGUGAUUACUGCUUCAUGCCUGAAGGGAAUCCCAGGGCUGUGCCUACCCCAAAACCUCAUCAGCAAAUACCUCAUCCAUGUGUUGAAGGCAGCAAGAAGGAUUGUCACACCAACGUUGUUGCUCUUAGUGGGACAGCCACAGCAUCGUACAGUGACCAGAGAGCCUCCUGGAAGCCAGUGGCAGAGGGAGCAGUGGGUGUGAUGUGAAGGAGUGCUGGAAGAGUGACCGACGUGAUGGAGAGCAGCCCUGUCAUGCUGAGCUCCCAGGAUGUGUUUGGGUAAUCCUAAAAGACUGCUUGGAGAAGCAGAAAGACACAGGGAGAAGAAGAAAGCAGGAGGCUGGCACAGCCGGCUCUGGAAAUGAUCAGAGGCACUAGUGCCAUAUUGCACCUCUGCACAUGGCCCUGUUGGUCCAUUACAGCUCUUCGCUGGAAGGCAGCUGGCAUCCAGGUAGCUCCAUUGGAGGUGUCCGCAGUGAGCCAAGCAGCAAAAGGGCCACCAAACAGUGAGUUUCUGCGUGGGGAACUUAAUUUCUGAUUUGGGGACUAAUCCAAGCUGAAGGACAAGUGUCAUCUUCCCUUGUGUUUAGGCAUGGGUAACGCUGUGUCUGAACCUGGGCAAGUUUUCCAAAUGUCUUUGUCACUUGGCCUGUCCUCCCCAUUACAGGGCACAAGGGGGCAGCCCCGUUUCCAGAUCCAUUUGGUUGUUCUCAUCCCCGUGUGCUGCAAAAAGCUCUGAAGUGAGCGCAUUUGGAGAUGCUGUUUGGUUUUGUUUUUACCGGUGUCUUUCUAAUGGAAAGAGCUCUUUGGAGGUACUAAAUUAUCAAUUUUCUCACAGGUACCCGGAGUGCUGAUUGUUACGGUUGUUUUUAUUGAUGUCUGGUCUGGAAACAGAUUGCAGGUUUUGUUGUUUUUAAUAUAAUGCGACGUGUCUCAGCAUGCAGCCACAGGAAUGUAAUAUAACAGGGAAUCGGCCUGCUCGGAAAGUGCAGCCGUGGGUUAUUGCCCUUUGGCUGGAAACAGGCUUCAUUUUUUUUUCUUCUUUGCAGUUCUCAACCAAGGAAGGUAACUCAAACCUUUGGCAAAUUCUGUGUUUGUAACUGCGUCGUUGUAACACACACCACUACCACACUAAUUCAUUCUGUGGGUAUCCCAAACCCACCUCGUUCCUGUUUUGGCAAUCUGAUGGUGUAUGAUACGAUAUCUGAUGGGAUGUGUAGAGGCAGCUCAAGCUUUCCUCCAUGCCUCAGGAAAUUUGGUUUUAUCCAUGUAAGAAUUUUUGGGCAGCACAGGUAAACUUAUUAUGGUGGCAAAAGAGAUUUUGGGGUGGAAAUGGGGAUGUUUGGGGGCUGGGAGGUGCCAGUGGUUAUUGGGGUGGCUGCAAGGUGUCUGGAGGGGAGCAAAUGUGACGGUGGGGGCAGCAGCAAGGGAAUGCUGGAGGAAGAGAGCUGACAGCAGCCUGUCUGGACAAGAUGAGGGCAGGGAGAGACCUGGAAAUGCAUCUGUGGAGCUUUGGAGGCCCAGCAGGAUGGAAGCAGGUACUUGGGGCACUCAGCUUUGCCACCCGCUCCCUCUGGGAGGGGGGAAGAUUGCUGUGGGUACAGCUCGGUGCAGUGCUCAGCUGUCUUGAAGCCAGCACGUACAAUUGCUGAUC